rnacentral:rRNA from 1 species
GGUUCGGAACAACACAGGGAAACUUGUGCUAAUACCGGAUAAGCCCUUACGGGGAAAGAUUUAUCGCCGAAAGAUUGGCCCGCGUCUGAUUAGCUAGUUGGUGAGGUAACGGCUCACCAAGGCGACGAUCAGUAGCUGGUCUGAGAGGAUGAUCAGCCACAUUGGGACUGAGACACGGCCCAAACUCCUACGGGAGGCAGCAGUGGGGAAUAUUGGACAAUGGGCGCAAGCCUGAUCCAGCCAUGCCGCGUGAGUGAUGAAGGCCCUAGGGUUGUAAAGCUCUUUUGUGCGGGAAGAUAAUGACGGUACCGCAAGAAUAAGCCCCGGCUAACUUCGUGCCAGCAGCCGCGGUAAUACGAAGGGGGCUAGCGUUGCUCGGAAUCACUGGGCGUAAAGGGUGCGUAGGCGGGUCUUUAAGUCAGGGGUGAAAUCCUGGAGCUCAACUCCAGAACUGCCUUUGAUACUGAGGAUCUUGAGUUCGGGAGAGGUGAGUGGAACUGCGAGUGUAGAGGUGAAAUUCGUAGAUAUUCGCAAGAACACCAGUGGCGAAGGCGGCUCACUGGCCCGAUACUGACGCUGAG